GGAGACGCACCCCUAAAAGGUGCCGGGGCUUCUCCCGUUUUAAGAGAGACGGGAGAAGG
rnacentral:tRNA from 1 species